AAAUAAAGUGCCCUAAUUGAUUAAAGAACAAAUCAAUCAUUUCCCCCAAAAUACACACAGCUCUUCUUCAUCUUUCCCGAUCUCUCGUCGUUUCGCUUUCGCGAUCUCUGAUUCUCUCUCCAGAUUGAAUUUCAACUAGGUGUGCAAAAGUAAUCCUUUUGGAAAUAAAUAGGAAUGGGUCAGAUCCAAUACUCAGAGAAGUAUUUUGAUGACACCUACGAGUACAGGCAUGUGAUUCUUCCAACAGAGGUGGCCACACUGCUUCCCAAGAAUCGCCUACUCUCAGAAGUAAAUGUUAUAUUUAUCAAUAUGCAGAGUAAAAUUUUGGGUUUGUGUGUUGAUUAUUUUAAUAUUUAACUGACUUCUGGUUCUACAGUUAGGCUUUUUCUCCAAUCAAUGUUUUUCUUUGUUGUUUGAAUUCAUAUAUUUGUUUUGGUGGGAAUUUUGAGCAUUGGGUUUUCUUCGACCAGACAAGGAUAAUCAGGAAAGAACCUAUGCUUUCAUGUUAUACUUUUUUAUGAAUGGUGGCUGUGAUCAGUGAUGGUUUUAAUGAAUUUCUCUGGUGAUGAUUUCACUACUGGUACUUAGACAUUCUUUUAUUUUUGCUUUGGAUAAAAAAAAUUCCAGAUCACGUUUCUAGCUAUGCAAGUAGACAAAUACUCAAUGAGUUUGCUAGCCAUUAAAUGAUAGAAGAUGGUAUCAUUGUUUUACCUUAUGACAUCAGUAUAUUUUCAUCUACGGACUUCCAGUCGGACAUAUAUGCAAUUAGAUGGUAUGAACACAUUUUUUGAAAAAUGUUGGGGCUUGGCUAUCCUAUAUAUCUGGAAGUGUUAUGGACUUGGGAACUUUAUAUAAAUUAUGUAUUGCAUUGAUGGAGGGAUAUUCUUAUCAUUGUGCCUAUGAUAUGUCCUUGUACAUGAGCCGCAACCCUACUGUGGGUGUAUGCAUAUUGCAUUUCCUAACAUGUUUAGUAAUUCUUGCU